rnacentral:rRNA from 1 species
UACGAAGGGGGCUAGCGUUGUUCGGAAUCACUGGGCGUAAAGGGCGCGUAGGCGGCCGUUCAAGUCGGGGGUGAAAGCCUGUGGCUCAACCACAGAAUUGCCUUCGAUACUGUUCGGCUCGAGACCGGAAGAGGUUGGUGGAACUGCGAGUGUAGAGGUGAAAUUCGUAGAUAUUGGGAAGAACACCGAUGGCGAAGGCAGCCAUCUGGACCGACACUGACGCUGAGGCGCGAAAGCGUGGGGAGCAAACAGG